CUGGUUAUAGAGUCGUGUGCUGACCACAUCAAAUGGAGUCAUGGCCAUCACCACUGCCACACUACUGAUCAUUCCAGCGGUUAGGGCAAUCAACCAGCUGCCUUCUGGAAACAGCUUAGAGAUCACAAGAUCACAGGUUGCUGCAAGAGAGUGUUAUGUAAUGUGUGUAUUCACACUGAAGUUUCCAGUGGAAUUCCUCCACAUCUACCUACAGCUGAUGCACUAUGAAGAUUCCAAGACCUAAAUCUAUAUUAAAUCCAUACUAAAAUGA